rnacentral:rRNA from 1 species
AUGGAUCUGCCUUGGAGCUUGCCACACGACCUCCUAGCGCGCCGAUCCGGUUGGUCCGGCCGCUAUAUUUAUUCUCCAUGGUCAAUAUUUGUCAAGACCAUAAGUGACCCCAAAACCAAGAAGCGCAUUUUUUUUGCCCAAGCACAAGAAGCAUGCCGAAAGGAUAUCAAGAGAGCAUUUGUUGUGUUGCAAGCUCGGUUUGCCAUUGUUCGGGUUCCUGCUCACUACUGGGAUAAGAAAUCCCUCAGAAAAAUCUUGUUUGCAUCCUCCCAGGACCCAGAUGAGAUUGAUGCAUUUCUUGAGACCUAUCCGAAGAUUGAGAACAAUUUAUGUUUUAGGUGCCCCACAAAAAAGGCUUAUGUUUCAGGUGUAAAGACGGUGAUGCAUUUGCAGCCAAGAUCACAACAUGUUUUUAUUUUUAUUUUUGCACUUCAUGUUGGGCAAAGCAGCAGCGAACCUGCUCUUCCUGGAGAGGCUCAUCGCCAUGAUGUUCCCCAAAACUACUUGUCGUGCGAGGGCAUCCAGUACGAAUCUUCGGAGUUAUCCGAGAGCCCCCAGAACUCCUCGUCCUCCUCCGACGAUGACUCAAUGGGGAUCACCAUCGAGGGGCCAGCCUCGUCCUCCUUCUUCCUCUUCUCCUCGGCAUCACGCUUCCACCAUCGCCGCCUCGUCGCUCUCGCCGGGAGUGACGACAACCGCCGGUCUCUUCUUCUUCAUCAUCUUGUUCUUCGGGGGCGGGCGGAAGCCGGAGCGGAAGCGGGCGGGUCCGGGGUGGGGCUGAGGUGGACGGGCCGGGGCAGGGCGGAGGCGGCCGGAGCGGAGGUGGACGGGGCCGGGGCGGCGCGGUGUGGCGACGGCCCAGGCGGGGUGGAAUCGGCGGCGGGGGUAGGGGCUAGGCUGGAUCUACGGCGGGGCGGCGUCGAGGAGCUGCGGUGGGGCAGCGGCCGAGCGGGGAGCUGCGGCGGGGUGGUGGCGGGCGGGAGGGAGAAGGGGGGAAAUGAACUGGAGGGCGCUCGGACGUUGGCGUGCGGCCGCGGUUUGCACCGCGAGUAA